rnacentral:lncRNA from 1 species
UUACAUUAUAAGUGGUCUAUACUGUAGUUGGUAAUUCAUAAUCGUGAAAUAACAGCACGUGAAGAAACAAGGGACAAACAUAGAAGAGACAUUCAACUUCAAGCCCAAACCGCAUGAGAGCGAUUUUGUGCGCGACAGCGACAAGCGACGGCUUAGAGCAACGAAACUGGCCGUCGCGCGAACAGAUAGCUCGUUUUUGAGCUCGAUCGCUCGGUUCUGGAAAUCUAGAAUUCGUCACUCGGUCGCCCGGAAGUGCUAUAAGCGACUAGCCAACAGCGUGAAGCCGGAACAGGAUGUACAUCAGUCAAGCACUACCGAUUGUCGCACAGAACAAGCGAUCGACUUAAUUUUGAUACGUGCAAGGAUAAGAACCUAGUGCAAGACCUUUAGAAAUAUUUGUGCUGCUCUUUGCAGUAAAACACAUCAACCUAAUUAAUAACGCACACGUCAUGCCAAUUUCAGCGCAUAUUUGCUGUCCUCAUACCAGGCAACACUGGGGAGACGUCGCUCAAUGUCGUCGCUCGUAUGCGGUACGACUUGUAGGUAACGAGCAAACGCAGCAGCCAUCUCCCUUGCGUCGCUUGUCACUGUCGCGCGCAAGUUCGCUUGCAUGCAGGUUUAUACUUCAGUGCUUUCAGCAAAAGCAGAGUUAUUGGCAAUCAAAGAACGCCUGUGAUCACCUUCACAGUGCUCCUGCUCCUUUUUCAAUGCCGUGCACUGUGAAGGCUAUGGCGGAGUGGGGUGUGCCCACAGUUUAAUUCCUACACAGGUGGCCGCGGCCGAGCAUGAGCAGACUAUAUAGUCGGCUUCUUCCGGAAGUGCGUAACUCUUAUCAAAAUUUGAAAGCAGGUUAUUGCUUACUUCAGCCUGUUUAUUAAACUGAGGCAAUAAAUAUACACCGUAACAGUAGGAAGAAGCAGACAGAUCGAAACACCUUUCUUGAUUGAUGUCAGCUAUUGGCCAAAAGCAGCCGCAUAUGGGAAUCUGCUGUAUGACAAAAUAUGGCAGCAGCCGGCAGCUUCUUGAACACCUAUAAUCUUGCAUGUUUCCUACAGACGCAGUCUGCGUAGUCUGUAGCUUUCUGUUGGCGCUGCUGCCGAAAUCAAAGCCUUUUAUGCGACAAUCUAGCAGGCACAUUGUGGUAAAGAAUGCCUACUUGGGGGUGUGACAAUGCCAGCAUGCCAAAGCACACAGCUUUACAACAUCCUGAAUACGACAGCGACCCUCGCACCACUUCUACAACGCGACACGCAGUGAGCGCUGUCACCAUGUCAAGAGGGCACACUUGAGCACCCAUUGAUGCACCACUUCCGUUCAUCUGCGCGAAGGCCGUGCUGCUUUUCAACAUGCUGUAACUGUAAAUCUGAAAAAAAUGAUACUGCACAAUGCAAAAGAAGUUAGUGGAAGUACAUGAAAUGCAAUUAUAAGUAAUGCAUCAAUGUAUCUAAGCAAAAUAACUGUCCCUGCAUGGGUUUUUAGAUGGUACACAGAUUCAUUUACACUGUUCACUGUCAAGCGAUGCCACAGGUCAUUUUGCACCACUUUCAGACUCCAGUUAAAUAUAUUCCUUGUUUAUGGAAUAAAAACAUGCUUGUUUCCUUGAAUGUGACACACAAUCUUCUUAUUCCCACCAUAAUGCAAAGACAUGUUCUGAGCAGUGGACAUUCCCUUUAAACAUGUCAAGCCACCUCUUGUGCCGUCAAAACAUUUCCCACAUUGCAACUCAGUCAAGUUCCUUCUCAUUCAGCGUGUGUUAGGCACGGUUACCACAAGCUACCAUGAGAGAGAUCAUAGGAUGAUCAAUAUGUUCAAAGCAACAGUGCAGAUUUAACUAAAGGAUGGCUCUUUGGCCCGAGUGGGUUGGAGGUGUAAAACUAGUUUUGAGAUGAGGGUCAUGCCAACUAGCAUGCCGCCCCUUUUUCUGCAUGUACAAGCAGCCAAAUACUUAGCUAGGCCACACAACCGCUAACUUUUCUGUAGGCCAUCACCUUAUCACAGAGAGAAUUUGCAAGACGGUUGAUGUUGAUGAUCAUGCAGGGGCUGUUGCAUAUAGUGGACACAGUACCCCAGCUUCCUACAAUUUAUAACUGUUACUGUAAAUCUGUUCUCCAAAGGGUGUCACCACUGGUACUAAUUUGGCACUCAUGCUCACACAAGCAGUCUCUGCUUCUUGGCAGCCUGCAACAUUGCUUUACAAUCUAUGUUUACGGUGUCUCUGUUCCUUUAUUCUAUAAACAGGCUGCAAUUCCACGUUUACGGGAAACUCAUUUGGUCAAAGUAAUCUCGGCAAAAUGACCUACUUCAAAUGACAAUGUUGCAAAUUGUUACCAAGUCUGAUUUUUCAAGUCACUCUGUUAGCCAGUGACACAGUCACAAGUGAUGAAGCGUCCUGCUGUUCAGCAUGGUUAUACAACCGCUGCAUUGCAUGCACGUACAGUCGGCAGUCAGUAGUGAAGGUAACUAAUUGAUGCUUCAGCAGUUUCCUCCCUCUGCUGUGCUUCGUAUGCCGACAAGCAUGUUACAUGCCCAGUGUAAUGCCAGCAAUAUGUUAUCAUCAUGGUGGUGUUUAUUAUGCAUAUCAUAUAGACUAUUGUGAAGUUUACCUAAAUGGGGGGGGAUGCAUGGCAAAAAUGUAUUAAACUAUCCCUUGCCUGCUUCCUACUCAGUGAUCGAGCCAGUUCUUGCGUGCCACAUUUGCAGCCAUUGCUGCAUCAACUGAAAGUUGCUCAGGGUAAUUUUUCUGUAUUUGUCACUGUACUUUUAUCUUUUUGCUUGUUAUACCACUGCCAUCCGUGCCACAUAGGGUAAAUUUAGCAAGAUUCCACAAUAAACAACAUUUGUAACAAAGCAUGUAACUAGGUUCUGCACUUUGUCGCACAUGUUGCUUCUUCAAAAGCUGACCAACUUUGUGCACAUUCACAAACUAUGUGCACACUGUUGGUGUUUAUUGCCAGAUAACAUGAUAGCAACAUUUGCAAGUGCACCCACUGGCAUUGUCUUGAGUGGCACACAUUUCCUUCCUUGUCAGCAGCAUCAAGGAGGGUCCUGCAUUUUAUUACUCAAGAAGUUAUCUUUCAGUUUUGUGUGUGAUAAUUAAAGAGCUACAGGUUACAUGCUUUGCACUGAAUUUCACCAUCGCUUAGCAGAGAGCACUUGGAUAGUGCAGAGAGUAUUCUUUGAAAUGACACUAUACCUCAAUGCAUAUAAAUGCCUUACACACUCAUCUCAUGACUAAAUUACAUAUGCUAGUAUGCAAAAGUUUUGUGCACUUUUAUCUGUGCUUCAGUAACAGCAUUCCAUUCAUUGAGGUGGUUGACAUCAUUUUGUUAAUGGCGGCUUCCUUUCACGCUCUGUCCUGCCCUUUUCUUGCUGUGUUUCCAUUAUAAUGCAACUAGGAAGUUCUUUCCAUAUUGCCUCUCUAAACCGUCUAUCAGACAGGCUAAAACGCAUCUUAGGAAAGAACCCAAUUCAGCACAAACAUCUUGCAUGGAAUUCAUUCUACAAAUUAAUAAUGGUGCCUGUAUAAUGCAAUAUCCAUGCUCUAUUAGUAUGUAUGCAUUAUCUUUGAGGCACAGUUAUGUGUACAUUGUUGUUAAUAUACUGUUAAAUUAUUUUCUGGUUCUUAAAGGGGACACUAAAGGAAAAUACUAAAUCAGUUGAAACUGGUUAAAGAUCCUCUGAAAACUAUGUUUUCAUUCAUUUGAUGAGAAAGGGUUGAUUACUGGUGCAGGAAAUGAAGGCCAAACUGCCCCUUGCUUGAAUUUUGCACCACAGCCUUGCAGCCGAAACAUCACUGUGAUGCUAUGGAAUUCAAAAGUGUUUUCUUGUAUAUUUAGGCCGCUUUAGCAAAGGAAAAGUUCUCAAAACUUGCUAGGUUGGGUUUUCUGUUAAAUUGGAAUGAAAUGCAGUCCCUCGUUAAUAACAAUGCUUUACUAAUAAACCCACGUCGACACUGUCAAAUUCCAUGACAUUGUGGUGAGCUGGUGCAAGAACAUAACGGCAGGGUUGCCGCUUGUCUUUCGUGUUUGCGUCUUUUCUGGCCUUACCAAGAGCCUCCUAUUAUGGUAAAGGCGGCUGUUCUUUUAUUGCUGAAGCGCAGUUUACUAGUGCAGCUCAUUAAUACUCGUCUUUAGUGUCCCUUUUAUCCCUUCUAUCAUUGAUGCUCUGAAAUGUUAUGCUAUUUACGUGCCGCUCAUUUUUUAAAGAGAAACGAGUACAAUUUGUGAGAGAACUGACAUUCAUGAAUGAAUAAGUGCCAAUUGCUUCUUUUUUACUGUGCACGAAAGAUGCACAUUCAUGUCUACAGGUACAAUUUGCUGUUGCGUGAUUAUUCGUUUUGCAGUGAAGUUUUUCAGCCAAAUCAAAAGUGUAAAUGGUGUACGUUUAACUUAGGGGUUUAUGUUACGCAGGAAGAAAAUGCCGUUCUUAUGCAAAUGUUUAAUCAGCGCUAAGUUGUACACUCAACCUUGACUUGUUCUAAUGGCUGCCAUUGUUAUUUGCUUGUUGGGGUGCCUCAACGCUCGUGCCUUAUUCCUCCUUUCGUCUACACCAUCAGUGCUUUAACUUAAUGUCAACUCGAACUGUUAGUUGGAUAUCACCUGUAUGACAACGCUAUUGAGAAUGCAGUCACAGUGCAGUAUUACUCAGAACCAUUCCAUUGUUUGACUUGCAUGUACAAUUCAGGAAAAUAACUUUCCUUUGGUACUUAUUUUGUUAUGACUGGCUCUGAAUAUCUGAAUCGGAAAACUUGUUUAUGAGUGUUCCACCCAAGCCAAUUGUGAAAUGAAUGUUUUCUGUACUCGUGGUUAUAGUGUAUGUGUAUUGUGAUGAAACGACCAGUUUAUAUGAAAUAAGCAGUUUAUAUGAGAUCCUGCCAUUUUACACAGGUGUUCCUUACAUAAAGUUCUUACACACUAUUGCUAUAUUUUAAUGUUGCUUUGCUGGAAAAAUUAAUAUUUUGUUGUAUAUGUACAUAUAAGAAAUUUUUUACCAUGUGUAUCUUGAAUACUGUAAUACAUAUUUUGAAUAAAUGUAACAGUAUUGAAGCCUUUUAAUGGCGAAUAAA